CUGGUCGGGACGUUCUUUCGGAAUUAACGAAAGAAUGUAAUUGGCACUAUCUCUCGUUCUGAUUUUGAUGUAGGCAUCGAGCUCAACAGGCUUGGGGGAGUUGUACAGAUCGGGCAGACCAUCUUUGUCGACCUGCUGCUCGUGAUCGAUGACUUUUGCAUUGCAAGAUUCUCUGGGAUCAUCACCGACGUUGAGACCUCCAGUUACAUCCUCAAAUGAAUUGUUCAGCCCAUUGCGAACCCACGGGGAAGAACGCAGC
rnacentral:misc_RNA from 1 species